GUGGGGAAUUUUGGACAAUGGGCGCAAGCCUGAUCCAGCAAUGCCGCGUGCAGGAAGAAGGCCUUCGGGUUGUAAACUGCUUUUGUACGGAACGAAACGGUCCUGGCUAAUAUCCGGGGCUAAUGACGGUACCGUAAGAAUAAGCACCGGCUAACUACGUGCCAGCAGCCGCGGUAAUACGUAGGGUGCGAGCGUUAAUCGGAAUUACUGGGCGUAAAGCGUGCGCAGGCGGUGCUGUAAGACAGGCGUGAAAUCCCCGGGCUCAACCUGGGAAUUGCGCUGGUGACUGCAGUGCUGGAGUGCGACAGAGGGGGAUGGAAUUCCGCGUGUAGCAGUGAAAUGCGUAGAUAUGCGGAGGAACACCGAUGGCGAAGGCAAUCCCCUGGGCCUGCACUGACGCUCAUGCACGAAAGCGUGGGGAGCAAACAGGAUUAGAAACCCCGGUAGUCC
rnacentral:rRNA from 1 species